rnacentral:rRNA from 1 species
AGAGUUUGAUCCUGGCUCAGGACGAACGCUGGCGGCGUGGAUUAGGCAUGCAAGUUGAGCGACAGACCCGGCUUGCCGGGUUAUGGAGCAGCGAACGGGUGAGUAACACGUGAACAAACUGUCCCUACAUUCCGGAUAAUUGGGAGAAAUCCCUUGUAAUACGGGCGAGGAUCAUGGUGAGGCAUCUCACCACGCGGGAAGGUGCAACGCAAGUUGUGCCGUGCAGGGAGGUGUUCGCGGCCUAUCAGUUAGUUGGUGGGGUAACGGCCUACCAAGACGACGACGGGUAGCUGGUCUGAGAGGAUGGUCAGCCACAUUGGAACUGAGAUACUGUCCAGACUCCUACGGGAGGCUGCAGUCGAGAAUCUUGGGCAAUGCACGAAAGUGUGACCCAGCGACGCCGCGUGAAGGAUGAAGGAGCUCUGCUUCGUAAACUUCUUUUAUGGGGAAAGAAAAGCUCGCAAGAGCCUUGACGGUACCCCAUGAAUAAGCCACGGCUAACUACGUGCCAGCAGCCGCGGUAAUACGUAGGUGGCAAGCGUUGUCCGGAUUUACUGGGCGUAAAGCGAACGCAGGCGGAUGGUUAAGUAGGAAGUGAAAGGUGGCAGCUCAACUGCCACACUGCUUCUUAUACUGGCCGUCUUGAGUAGCGGAGAGGGAGAUGGAACGACACGUGUAGCGGUGAAAUGCGUUGAUAUGUGUCGGAACACCAAUGGCGAAAGCAAUCUCCUGGACGCAAACUGACGCUGAGGUUCGAAAGCCAAGGUAGCAAACAGGAUUAGAUACCCUGGUAGUCUUGGCCAUAAACGAUGUUCACUAGGUGUUGGGGCUUUGCCUCGGUGCCGCAGCUAACGCAUUAAGUAACCCGCCUGA